UACGAAGGGUACUAGCGUUGUUCGGAAUCACUGGGCGUAAAGCGCACGUAGGCGGAUUUGUAAGUCAGGGGUGAAAUCCCGGGGCUCAACCUCGGAACUGCCUUUGAUACUGCGAGUCUUGAGUCCGAUAGAGGUGGGUGGAAUUCCUAGUGUAGAGGUGAAAUUCGUAGAUAUUAGGAAGAACACCAGUGGCGAAGGCGGCCCACUGGAUCGGUACUGACGCUGAGGUGCGAAAGCGUGGGGAGCAAACAGG
rnacentral:rRNA from 1 species